rnacentral:rRNA from 1 species
UACGGAGGGUGCGAGCGUUGUCCGGAAUCAUUGGGCGUGAAGGGCGCGCAGGCGGCCUUUUAAGUCUGGCGGUGAAAUGCCGGGGCUCAACCCCGAGCGCGCCGCGGAUACUGGGAGGCUGGAGACGAGUAGAGGCAAGCGGAAUUCCAGGUGUAGCGGUGAAAUGCGUAGAUAUCUGGAGGAACACCGGUGGCGAAGGCGGCAUCCUGGACCGGUAUUGACGCUGAGGCGCGAAAGCCAGGGGAGCAA